UAUCAUGAUGACAUAAACACACUUGUUUUUAUAAUUUCUGGUACCUCUUAUGUUAGGGCCUUACCGGCUCAAUGAAUUAAACGGACUUCUGAUC
rnacentral:snoRNA from 1 species